UACGGAGGGUGCGAGCGUUAAUCGGAAUUACGGGGCGUAAAGCGUGCGCAGGCGGUUCGUUGUGUCGGCGGGGAAAUCCCCGGGCUCAACCUGGGAAUGGCAAUGGAUACUGGCAAGCUAGAGUGUGUCAGAGGAUGGUGGAAUUCCCGGUGUAGCGGUGAAAUGCGUAGAGAUCGGGAGGAACAUCAGUGGCGAAGGCGGCCAUCUGGGACAACACUGACGCUGAGGCACGAAAGCGUGGGGAGCAAACAGG
rnacentral:rRNA from 1 species